rnacentral:lncRNA from 1 species
CACACAGCGAUGACCUGCGGCAUACAACGACUGAGAUCUCCGAGAUGAACCGGAACAUCAGCUGGCUCCAGGCUGAGAUUGAGGGUCUCAAAGGCCAGAAGGCUUCCCUGGAGGCCGCCGUCGCAGAUGCUGAGCAGCGUGGGGAGCUGGCCAUUAAGGAUGCCAACGCCAAGCUGUCCGAGCUGGAGGCGGCCCUGCAGCGGGCCAAGCAAGACAUGGCAUGGCAGUUGCAUGAGUACCAGGAGCUGAUGAACAUCAAGCUGGCCCUGGAUAUGGAGAUCGCCACCUACAGGAAGCUGCUGGAGGGCAAGGACAGCCGGCUGGAGUCUGGGAUGCAGAACAUGAGUAUCCAUACGAAGACCACCAGCAGCUAUGCAGGUGGUCUGAGCUCGGCCUAUGGGGGCCUCACAAGCCCCAGCCUCAGCUACGGCCUGGGCUCCAGCUUUGGCUCUGGCGUGGGCUCCAGCUCCUUCAGCCACAGCAGCUCCACCAGGGCCGUGGUUGUGAAGAAGAUACAGACCCGCAAUGGGAAGCUGGUGUCCGAGUCUUCUGACGUCCUGCGC